rnacentral:lncRNA from 1 species
CCUAAUUGUUCCCAUAGGUACGACCGCAAUCUUCGGGGAUCAAGUGUGACUGACGCAGAAGCGUCACCUGUAUGGCCAACUAAUUCCACAUAUGAAAGGACAACUGGGUCCCGUUAUGCGCGUGAGCAUGUGCCCAGGUGCUCCUGCAGUAGAUUAUACUUUACGGUACUGGGACCCAUAUGAGCGGUGUGCCAUUUAUACUACAUUAUUAAAAAGCAAAAUUGAAUGUGAAAUGCAUAUAUGGGAUGACAGAGUGGAUACGAAGUUACGCAACUGUUACAUGCAUUACUACAAAUAUUGUCACGAGCAGCAUCCCCUUUACAGUUCAGUUUGCAAGAACCAGCAGUGACUUCGUGAAGUGUGGAGAGCGUGCCGUAAGGUGCUCUGCGCAGACGCUCUGUAGAGUGCAAGGGAGUGUCAAAUAAUAAAUUGAAAACUAUGCUGUC